AAAGCCGUGGGUACCAGAAGUCGCUGGGCCAACCCUCCGGGGAGGUAGGCGCCUAAGGUAUGCGUGGUAAUUGGGGUGAAGUCGUAACAAGGUAGCCGUAGGGGAACCUGCGGCUGGAUCACCUCCUUUCUAAAGGUAUAUUGAGAUUAUCUCUUCGGAGAUAGCCUCCAUACCCAUCCCUUCUCUCCAUCGCAGGUAUGUGUCUGUAUAUGACUUUUUGCUCUUUGACAUAAUGGCGAAAUGCUGAGACUCAUCAGAGUUCUAAUAAUGAGGUCAAGUAUGGAAGAGCAUACGGUGGAUACCUAGGCACACAGAGAAUAAAG
rnacentral:misc_RNA from 1 species